rnacentral:lncRNA from 1 species
AUGACGUCGGGGUGAGUCUCUGUAGAGGAUGACGUCGGGGUGAGUCUCUGUAGAGGAUGACGUCGGGGUGAGUCUCUGUAGAGGAUGACGUCGGGGUGAGUCUCUGUAGAGGAUGACGUCGGGGUGAGUCUCUGUAGAGGAUGACGUCGGGGUGAGUCUCUGUAGAGGAUGACGUCAGGGUGAGUCUCUGUAGAGCUUCCUGGUGGUGGUAGAGGAUGACGACAGGGUGAGUCUCUGUAGAGGAUGACGUCGGGGUGAGUCUCUGUAGAGGAUGACGUCGGGGUGAGUCUCUGUAGAGGAUGACGUCGGGGUGAGUCUCUGUAGAGGAUGAGGUCAGGGUGAGUCUCUGUAGAGGAUGACGUCGGGGUGAGUCUCUGUAGAGCUUCCUGGUGGUGGUAGAGGAUGACAGCUGGGUGAGUCGCUGUAGAGGAUGACGUCAGGGUGAGUCUCUGUAGAGGAUGACGUCAGGGUGAGUCUCUGUAGAGGAUGACGUCAGGGUGAGUCUCUGUAGAGGAUGACGUCAGGGUGAGUCUCUGUGGAGGAUGACGUCAGGGUGAGUCUCUGUGGAGGAUGACGUCAGGGUGAGUCUCUGUGGAGGAUGACGUCAGGGUGAGUCUCUGUAGAGGAUGACGUCAGGGUGAGUCUCUGUAGAGGAUGACGUCAGGGUGAGUCUCUGUAGAGGAUGACGUCAGGGUGAGUCUCUGUAGAGGAUGACGUCAGGGUGAGUCUCUGUAGAGGAUGACGUCAGGGUGAGUCUCUGUAGAGGAUGACGUCAGGGUGAGUCUCUGUAGAGGAUGACGUCAGGGUGAGUCUCUGUAGAGCUUCCUGGUGGUGGUAGAGGAUGACGACAGGGUGAGUCUCUGUAGAGGAUGACGUCGGGGUGAGUCUCUGUAGAGGAUGACGUCGGGGUGAGUCUCUGUAGAGGAUGACGUCGGGGUGAGUCUCUGUAGAGGAUGACGUCAGGGUGAGUCUCUGUAGAGCUUCCUGGUGGUGGUAGAGGAUGACGACAGGGUGAGUCUCUGUAGAGGAUGAGGUCGGGGUGAGUCUCUGUAGAGGAUGAGGUCGGGGUGAGUCUCUGUAGAGGAUGAGGUCGGGGUGAGUCUCUGUAGAGGAUGAGGUCAGGGUGAGUCUCUGUAGAGCUUCCUGGAGAUGGUAGAGGAUGACUUCAGGGUGAGUCUCUGUAGAGGAUGACGUCAGGGUGAGUCUCUGUAGAGCUCCCUGGUGGUGGUAGAGGAUGACGUCCGGGUGAGUCUCUGUAGAGGAUGACGUCAGGGUGAGUCUCUGUAGAGGAUGACGUCAGGGUGAGUCUCUGUAGAGGAUGACGUCAGGGUGAGUCUCUGUAGAGCUUCCUGGUGGUGGUAGAGGAUGACGACAGGGUGAGUCUCUGUAGAGCUUCCUGGUGGUGGUAGAGGAUGACGACAGGGUGAGUCUCUGUAGAGGAUGAGGUCGGGGUGAGUCUCUGUAGAGGAUGACGUCGGGGUGAGUCUCUGUAGAGGAUGACGUCGGGGUGAGUCUCUGUAGAGGAUGACGUCGGGGUGAGUCUCUGUAGAGGAUGACGUCGGGGUGAGUCUCUGUAGAGGAUGACGUCGGGGUGAGUCUCUGUAGAGCUUCCUGGUGGUGGUAGAGGAUGACGGCUGGGUGAGUCUCUGUAGAGGAUGACGUCAGGGUGAGUCUCUGUAGAGCUUCCUGGUGGGGGUAGAGGAUGACGUCGGGGUGAGUCUCUGUAGAGGAUGACGUCGGGGUGAGUCUCUGUAGAGGAUGACGUCGGGGUGAGUCUCUGUAGAGGAUGACGUCGGGGUGAGUCUCUGUAGAGGAUGACGUUGGGGUGAGUCUCUGUAGAGCUUCCUGGUGGUGGUAGAGGAUGACGGCUGGGUGAGUCUCUGUAGAGGAUGACGUCAGGGUGAGUCUCUGUAGAGCUUCCUGGUGGGGGUAGAGGAUGACGUCAGGGUGAGUCUCUGUAGAGGAUGACAUUGGGGUGAGUCUCUGUAGAGGAUGACGUUGGGGUGAGUCUCUGUAGAGGAUGACUUCGGGGUGAGUCUCUGUAGAGGAUGACGUCGGGUGAGUCUCUGUAGAGGAUGACGUCAGGGUGAGUCUCUGUAGAGCUUCCUGGUGGUGGUAGAUGAUGACGUCAGGGUGAGUCUCUGUAGAGGAUGACGUCAGGGUGAGUCUCUGUAGAGGAUGACGUCAGGGUGAGUCUCUGUAGAGCUUCCUGGUGGUGGUAGAGGAUGACGACAGGG